rnacentral:rRNA from 1 species
AUUGAACGCUGGCGGCAGGCCUAACACAUGCAAGUCGAGCGGAUGAAGGGAGCUUGCUCCUGGAUUCAGCGGCGGACGGGUGAGUAAUGCCUAGGAAUCUGCCUGGUAGUGGGGGAUAACGUCCGGAAACGGGCGCUAAUACCGCAUACGUCCUGAGGGAGAAAGUGGGGGAUCUUCGGACCUCACGCUAUCAGAUGAGCCUAGGUCGGAUUAGCUAGUUGGUGGGGUAAAGGCCUACCAAGGCGACGAUCCGUAACUGGUCUGAGAGGAUGAUCAGUCACACUGGACUGGGAAACCGGCCCAGCUCCCAACGGGAGGCAGCGGUGGGAAUUUUUGGAAAAGGGCGAAAGCCUGAUCCAGCCAUGCCGCGUGUGUGAAGAAGGUCUUCGGAUUGUAAAGCACUUUAAGUUGGGAGGAAGGGCAGUAAGUUAAUACCUUGCUGUUUUGACGUUACCAACAGAAUAAGCACCGGCUAACUUCGUG